rnacentral:rRNA from 1 species
UGGGGAAUAUUGCACAAUGGGCGCAAGCCUGAUGCAGCCAUGCCGCGUGUAUGAAGAAGGCCUUCGGGUUGUAAAGUACUUUCAGCGAGGAGGAAGGCGUUGUGGUUAAUAACCGCAACGAUUGACGUUACUCGCAGAAGAAGCACCGGCUAACUCCGUGCCAGCAGCCGCGGUAAUACGGAGGGUGCCAGCGUUAAUCGGCAUUACUGGGCGUAAAGCGCACGCAGGCGGUCUGUCAAGUCGGAUGUGAAAUCCCCGGGCUCAACCUGGGAACUGCAUCCGAAACUGGCAGGCUAGAGUCUUGUAGAGGGGGGUAGAAUUCCAGGUGUAGCGGUGAAAUGCGUAGAGAUCUGGAGGAAUACCGGUGGCGAAGGCGGCCCCCUGGACAAAGACUGACGCUCAGGUGCGAAAGCGUGGGGAGCAAACA